GUGGAUGAAAAGUUUUAAGUGUCGUUAUUAAAUAAAAAUCGUACCUCAUUACUUGUUGGAUUGAACCAUUUGAGGAGGGAAGACCAGAGUAGAGAUGAUGGACUUGAUAACAUUUCCAGCUUGGUGCAAUAGUGGGCAUCUAUUUCUCGCAGACUUGAUGGAAGCUCUGGAAUGUCUUGGAGCAUCUUGCAGUGACUGAUAUCAAGGUAACGAAGCUUACAAAGUUGAGAGAUGCCAGAAGGUAUGCUAACCAUUAGAUUGCAGUGACUCAAAUCUAGUCGUUCUAAGGUGCAGAAGCCUUCCGGAUUCUUGGGAAACUUCUCCAAGUUUGAACAACAACCUCGUAGUCUCAGAUAUGUAAGGGAUCUCAAAUUAUAAAUGCUGUCUGGAGGAGUCACAAGGCAAUUGCUCAUAUCCAAACGCCAGAGGCUUUUCAGAUUUUGAAUUGAUGAUGGUAGCUCUUUUAUACCAGUUCCACUUAAAUCAAGAAUUCCUAAGUAUUUCAUAUCCUCCGUGAUUUCUGGAAAAGUAUCUAGAUUUGAACAAUCAUUGAGAGAGAGGAUCUUAAGGGACUUUAACCUGCAAAUGCUACUUGGAAGGCUCCUCAAGUUUUUGCAGUCUGACAAAAAUAAGCUCUGAAGUUCAGUGAGAAGUUCUAUCGAGGAGGGGAAUUCCUUAAUACCACAUCCAUCAAGGACAAGAUUAGAUAAAGCUUUCAUAGGACUUCCCUUCAUCUCUGGAAAUUCCUCGAAGUUUGAGCAUUGAUCCAAGUCCAUAAUUUCAAGAGAGUCCAAGUAUUGAAUGCUACUUGGUAAACUCGUAAGGUUUUUGCACCCACUCAAAUUCAACGUGGUAAGAUUCUUGAGAUCUCCAAUAGAUGGAUCAACAACAUUCAAACUCGUACAAUCUUCAAGUUUUAACUUCUCUAGAUUUGGCAUAUUUGAGAACGAUAUUUCAGUGAGUUGCCUUGAUCCAGAUAAAUUUAAGAUCUUCAACUGCUCCAAACGCUGUGACAAAAGGAAUUUUGGUUUAGUAAAUGAAUUUUCGUGAAGAAAAAAUUAAUCUCAAACAAAAUAAUAUGAUCAUGAAAUACUAGAUACACCUCAUUUCUUUGCCGAAGUUGUUUUAUGUUGCUAUCCUUCAUGUUGAGUUCAAUAAGGUUCACUCCAAGAAAAUAUGACGGCAAUGAUUUCAAAGGGUAUCCUUCCCAAUGAAGAUAUCUCAACUCAGGUGCAGGGAAUUGAAAAUCUUCAGGAAGAAUAAUUUUCAAUUGCUUUUCCCUAGUACCACAAUAACCGCCUAAAUAAAUCUUGAGCAAUCUAAGUUGUUUCAUCUUUGCAAAAAUCUUUGUACUAACUUGUAGUGGUGUCGAUCUCGACAAGUCCAAGAAUAUUGCCUCAACAUUUUUCAUCCCCUACAAACAAUAACAAAGGAUUAGGCAAGCAUAAAAGAGAUAAAGCUAGCUAAAAUUGUAUGGAUAUGUAACUUAGACAAAAAUGAUAUUGCUCAAAUUUAAAUAUUUUUAUGAAGCUUAAGAAAGUUCAUGAGUUUGAUGGUUACCUUCCCCAUUGUAAAUGCACGACACACAUCACUCGGAUCCCAUAAUCUGCUCCAUUUUGUAGGAUCAUAAGGAGAUUCACUACGAAUAAUGUUCCGUCCCAUUUCUUGUAUCAAAUCGUGCAUAAGUAUCUUAUUUUUAGAAAAAGAUAUAAGACACUUAUCAUAGAGGGCUUUUAUUCCGCUCUCUGCAUACAAAUUACAACCAUCCAAUAUUCUUGAAACAAAGUCUUUGUCUUCCCCUUUAAAACAACAUGCAAUAUCAAGAAAUAUUUUCUUCUGUGUAUAAUCUAAUCCGUCAAAACUUAGUUUAAGCACAAUCUGAAUUUUCACUUCAGGUUCUCUUUCCAAUUUACACAAUUCACUUUCCCAUUGGAGUAUUGUCUUGUUAAACAAGAGAGAACCGAGGACUUUUAGAGCUAAAGGAAGACCAUGACAAUAAUAGACUACACGAUCCGAGAGGUGGAUGAAGUCUUGUUUGGGAAGAUUCUGUCUAAAAGCAAAGAGACUAAAAAGCUCACGAGCUUGUUCAAAAUUUAAUUCCUCAACCUCAUAUACUUCAUCCAUUUCAUGUAACAAAUGUUUAUUUCUAGUUGUUAUGAUGACUCUGCUUCCUCUUCCAAGCCAAUCAUGAUUUCUGAGUAAAUAUUCCAAUUGAUCUAAAUCAUCAAUGUCAUCAAGAACAAUAAAAACUCUUUUACAUCGGAGAACAUUUUUUAUCAUAUUGGCUCCUUGGCCAACAUUGCUUACAUUUUGAUUUCUCUCCACUUGUAGUAGAUCACAUAGAAGUUGAUUUUGUAAAUGAUGCAAACCCAUAGUAUUGCCAACUUCUCUAACAUUUUCAAGAAAGCUCAUAUACUCAAAUUCAUGAGAAAAUGUAUUAUAUACUACUUUGGCGAUAGUCGUUUUACCCAUUCCGCCUAUUCCACAUAUACCAAUGAUACGAACAUCAUUCAAUUGAUCAACACAUAGCCGCCGAAUUAUCUCAUAUACAUGAGAAUCCAUACCAACUAAGUUGUCAUGACCAACAUCCAACAUUCUAUAAUUCAAUCUCCUGAAUAUAUCGUUGACGAUUUUGUUAACAUGCUCGGACUCAAACCUGCCAAUUGUAAAGUAUAUGUGAUGAUUAAUUAAGCUAUAGCUAAUAAAAAAAAUAUAAAAAAGAAUACACGUUAAACUUUUUCAUGAGAAAUGAAUCAUAGUGAAAAAAAAUAUAUCAAAAGUAUUAAGUUUUAAAACUCAAAUUACGUUUUUAGAACAUUUUCAUUGUAUCAAGUAUACAAGACAAGGAAAAUAAAAUAUGUACUUGUUUAAUUUGUUUGCUUGUGCGACGCUGUCAAAUUGAUUUUUUUUUUUUUUUGUUUCGGAACAUUUAUAGGCUGCGAAGCAUGGAGCAAAUUUAUAUCAAACAAAAUCAUAUUGUAAUGACCCACUCUCUUGUGCAUAUAUAGAUAUCAUUUGCAGCUCUCUCUCUCUAUGUUAUGUGUAACAUUAUAAUUACCCAAUCCCCUAUCCACAAUGUAGACACAAGGUACUCAUCAUGUCUCAUAAUAUGAUGGGUUUGCAGGUCUUCAGUGACUUUCUAGAUUUACUUUGAAUACUUCAUGACUUGCAAUAAUCAUAAAUGACCUCCAAAUCUCUUCAACUAUUACUCUAUAAUCAUAAAAAUGUCUGAUUCCUGUGCCAGUAAAUAAAGCCUACUUAUAAAUGAAAGUUGAAGGAAAAUUAAUAAAGCUUUACCCAUCCUUCACAUGCUCUCCAGAUGUAUUGGCUGCUUCUGUCAAUGCACUCCUCCAACUUCGCACCUUCUCUUUCAUCUCUUCUGUAUCUUCUUUGUAAUAAGAAAAUGCCUCUCCAAAUCUUCCUGUCUGGUUUCGUACAUGGGAUGGAUCCACAUGGUAGAAAAUCGGUACCACAGUUUGUUUCAUUUCUUUCUUGCACUCCAUGAUCUUCACCAGCUCAUCUAAACACCAUCUAGAACCAGCAUAGUUUUCCGAGAAAACUAUUAGGGAAAACCUUGAUUCUUCAAUAGCUUUUAGGAGUUCAGGUGCAAUCUCUUCCCCUCUCUUAAGUGAAUCAUCAUCUCUAAAGGUAUGAAUACCUCUUCGAAUCAAAUUUGCAUAUAAGUGAUCAGUGAAAUUGAAUCGGGUGUCUUUACCUCUAAAACUCAAAAAAACUUCAUACUUGCAUUGUGGGAUGAAAGUAGAAAUAGAAGUAGAAAUUGAACUUGUGGAAGCCAUAGGAAACUUAUGCCAAAAUUAGAACUCAGAAGAGAUUUUGCAGAAUUGUGAAUGUAGAUUGUGCUGUAAAGACUUUGGGUCAAUGUUGUGUACAGAAAAAAAAAGAGUGGGUAGCGCCCCAAAAAAAUCUCCUCCAUCCAUUGCGAGUCUGUUUAAAUCCUCAUCUACUCGCUCUCUUGUUCUGCCACCUUUCUAAAUUAUUCUCAUCUCUAUUAAGUUAUGUUGGAUUCUCGUGUAAAGUAGUAGGAAGGAAAAAUAAAAGUAAAAGGUACCAUCAAAAUAUGAAAAAUAUUAAAUAUAUUUAAAAUUUAUAAAAAAUUUAUAUAUUUUAAAAUUAUUUAAUCUUUAUAUAAUAAUUUUUUUUAAAUAAAACAGAUUUAAAAAUAUAUAUAAAAAUAAUUUAUUAACUUUAUAUGUAGUUUAUAUUUUCUUUCAUUCCUUUUUUUUUCUUCUCUCUUAUUUUGCCUUUAACUUUUUUGGAAUCAAACAGGAUCUUACAAUUUUUUUAAAAGGUUAAUUUCAUUAAUUUCCCUUAAAUUGUAGCUAAAUAUAUUUAUCUCCUAUAGUUUUAAAAUUUUAUUAUGUACCUUUUUUAUUUUGAUUAAAAAAAUAUGAGUAAAAAAAAAAUUAUAAAAGAGAUAUUGAAUGAAAUUUCAAAUUUAAAAAAGUUAGACAUAUUUAGUCAAAGAGGUGAAUGAAAUUAAUAUUUUUUUUGAAUUAAAAAUGUUUUGUACAUAAGAAGAUCCCAUAUUAACGUAGUUGCAUAAUGAGACUCUUUUGCUUUCUCUAGAAUUAUUAAAAUUAAAAUUCCAACAUAUGAAACAGUGAUUGAAGAGAGUGAGGGCACGCGCUGCUGCAGAUGGGAUCACAAAGAUGGAGCAUCUUACUUAGGGUGAUGUCAGUGGCAGCUGGAAGGGUGGUGGUUGAAGAAUGGAUUAUUAUAGAGUGAGACUUGUAGGAAUGAUGAAUGGGAACAAAAUUUGUUGUCUACUUCAAUUUGCUAUAUCCUUUGUUUAUCUUAUUCAUGUUCUCCACUCACACCUCACCAUGCGUUCAAACAUACGACUCUUGAGGAUUUCUCAAAUGACGGGCACUUCCUUAAAUUUACAGAAUAACAUAUGACUCCCUAAUUCUCUGGGCACUUGCCUCAUAAAUAUGGCAAUGUUUCCUCUUCCCAUGUUUAUUUUUAAAGCUAAAUAGAAAAAUAACAUAACCUUGCUAGGGAAGGGGCUUGGAACCAGAGACCUUGAGCAAGGGAUGAUAGCCUCUUACCACCAAACUACUUGGGUAUUAUAAAACCACAUAAAUUCUAUUAUAUCUUUUAUAUUUUAUAAAUUAUAAAUUAAUUCAAAUCAAAUUAUUUUAAAUUAAUUAAUUUUAAUUAUUUUAUUAUUUAUGUUAUAAAAUAAUUAAAUAUAAGGUAAAUAUAAAUUUCUAAAUAAAAUUAUUGAUAUUUUUAAAUAAAAAAAACUUACAUAUAUUAUUAUUUAUUUUAUAUCCUUCAAUACAUAUUAAUUUGUCUGUUAAAAUUAAAACAACUUCAAUAUAUAUAUUAUUAAUUUUUCUAUCAUUUUUGGAGGUUUUUUUUUCUUUCAAUAUUACUAAGAUACUUGAAAUCAGUUUGUCAAUAUACCUAUUAUAAUCGAUAUUUUCUUCCUUAGUUUUUUAUGAGUUCGAGAACAUGCGAUAUCAACCUAAUAUAAAAAAAAUUGCAUUUGAAUGUGGUUUUAUGACUAUGCUUCCGACCUAAUAUUCAACACCAAUAAUUGGACUUUUGGGUUAUGGUUAUUCUUUUAACUAAUGUUGAAUUUCAACAACAAAAAACUUUGAUAAGUUGUUAGCAAUAUUUUUAGAAUCAAAUCGGACAUUAAAUCGAAAACAUUAUUGGUUUAUAGUUCAUUGGUCGGAUCGGUGGUCAAACUAUGAUCAAACCAGUGAUAUCAUAAAUAUAUAAUUUAUAUUUUAAUAAAAUUUAAAAUAAUUAUAAUAAAUUAAUAUAUAUAUAUUAUUAAAAUUUUUAAUAAUAUUUUAAUUUUUUAUGUGAAAUUAAAUGAUAAAUAUAAAUAUAAAUGUACCAAUAUAUUAAAUUUUAUUAAAUAGAAUAUGUAUAAUAUUUAAAUAUGAAAGUAUAUAUAAGAUGAAAAGAAAAUUAUAAUAUUUAAUUUAAUUAUGUAUCUACGUCUUUUGUUACUUUAAAAUUUUAAAAUUAUUAUAUUGAUUAAUUUAUAUUGUUUUCAUGUUUAUAAUUAAUAAUUAUUAUAAAAAUAUUUAUAUUUGUUAAAAUGUUUUAUACAAGGGUCUUCAAAAAGCCCGCGACCCGCGGCCCGGCCCAGCGGGCUAAAGCCCGGCAGGCCCGGUGGGCUGGCCCGCCACUUAAAAAUAUAAAUAUAUAUAUAUAAUAUUCAAGAAAUAGAAAAUGCUACAUUAAUAAAAAUAUUCAUUGCUAACUAUUUUAUUCAUUGAAUAUAUAUAUUACAUUUGAAAAUGUGGGAAAAGUUUACAUCACUACAAAAUAAAUACAUCCCAACUAGGUUGGCACCUACUUAUUUGUCAAUCAUUUGUACUUUUAAACCACAAAAAUAAAAAUAAAAAUAUGACAUACAUUUAGUAAAAUAUUUUAAUCAUUAUCUCUUGACGGUGAUGGCGAACUAUCGCAAAUCCAUGAAGAUCUUGAUGAUUUUAGUUUUUCCAUAUCGACAAGCAUAUUUUCUUUUUGAAUAGAAUCAAAUAUCAUUUUAUCUGCUAUUGCCCAGUCUUUCACAUAUAUAUUUGCUUCAAUAGAAUCCGGCGCUAAGCUGCAUCGUUUAUCACUAACUACUCUUCCACCUACACUAAAAGCAGCUUUUGAUGCAACUGUACUCACAGGAACUGUUAGUACAUCACGAGCAAUGAUAGAAAACACAGGAUAUUUGUGUUGUUGUGAUUUCCACCAUAUUAAAAUAUCAAAAUCUUCAUCAUCUUCAAAUGAAAUUAAAUCAAUAUUAAGAUAUCUAUCUAAAUCAGUUGUGUUGUUUGGAGAACUAUUUGUUGUCUUCUUUCGACUUUUUAACAUUUUUAGAGCUCCUUUAUAAAAAGAUGAAGAACUUGUAGAUGUAGGUGGUAAUUUAAUAGAACUAAUAUCAUCACCAUAUUUUUCUGUAUAAUAGUUAUAUAAAUUAUAUAAUAAUGAAUUUAUUUCAUUUUUAAUUUCUUCAAUUUUUAUUUGGUCAUUAAAAUAAAUGAUUGUUAACCAUUCAUCUAAAGCUUCAAAUUUCAAUCUAGGGUCCACAAUUAAACCAAGAGAAAAAAAUUAAAGGUAUUUCUCCCCAAUAUUUUCUAAAUUUUUCUAUCAUUGCAAAUAUUGCAUCAUUAAAUAUAUCCAAAUUUAAAUAUUUUUGAAGUACAAUAAAAAUAUUAGUUAUUUGUAUGACAACUCGGUUUGAAGAUGGAUAAUAUACACCACAAAAUUUUUUUGUUGAAGUAUCAAAUACUUCAAAAAGAUCUCUUAAAAGAUCUGCAAUAUGUCAAUCAUAAUCAUUUAAUGCAUCAAUAUCUGCUUCACAAUCAUUGUUAAUUAAUUGUAUUUCAUAUAGUUCUACUACUUUUCUAUAUUUUAUAAUAGUUUGUAAAAGUUUAUAAGUGGAAUUCCAUCUAGUGGGCAUAUCCAAAUUUAUAUUUCUUUUUUUCAUAUUUAACAUUUUGCAACAAUAAAAAAAUAAUUCAUGUUUUGCUUGAGAACUAUUAAGACCCGCAGCAAUGCCUCUAAUUUUUGAUAAUGUAUCAUCAACGUGUUUUAAUCCAUCUUUUACAAUUAAAUUUAAAAUAUGUGCACAACAACGCACAUGAAAUAUUUUACAUUGAUCUUCUUUUAUUUGCCAAUAUCGUUUUAAUCUAGAUACUGUUGCAUCAUUAUUAGAAGCAUUAUAUAAUGUUAUUGUAAAUAUUUUAUCACGAAUGCCAAAAUCUAUAAUUUCAUCAUUUAUUAAUGAUGCUAUAUUUUUACCAUUAUGUGGAGCAUUUAUUAUUUUAAAUGAAAUAAUUCUUUUAUUUAAUUUCCAUUCAUUAUCAAUAUAAUGAGCAGUUUAUACAUAAAAAAACCACUGUGAGUUAAAGAUAUCCAAAUAUCAGAUGUUAAACAAAUUAUUCCUUCAAAAUUUGCAAAAAAAAAUUUUAAAUUUUCUUUUUGUGUUUCAAAAUUUUUUAUAAGAAUUCUUUUAACUGUAAUUCUAGAGCAACCUUGAAACUGAGGAUUAACAGCUCGUUGCAUUGUUCCCAUAAAAUCAUGAGUUUCCAUGAAAUUGAAAGGUUGUUUUGCUCUUAUUAUAUAACCAAUCAUUUUUUUACGACAAUAAGAUUCAUCCUAAGAAAAUGUUUUUAAAUUUCCACUUUCAUCUUUACUUAAUUGCAUAUAAUUUCUAAUAUCUACAUUAUUUUUAGUUUUACAAUUUUCAUGAUGCCUUUUUAAAUGACUUGUACUUGCAUUUGAGCCACCACUAAGAAGUUUGUUACAAAUUUUACAUUUUGCUUUUAUUUUAUUUUAUUUUAUUUCUAAAUUUAUUUCUAUUCUAUCAAAAAAAUUCCAUAUAUUUGAAGUAAAUUUUUUGCUAUCACAUGCAUUAAAUGAAGAACAAGAACCACUUGCCAUAAUUAUAAUUAUUGAUAAAAUAUUAUGCUAAAAAUAAUAAAUGUAAAAUUAAAAUGUAACAAAUAAAUAAAAGUAAAGGUAAAGUAUGUUACUAAAUUGGAGAACCGAAGUAGAAAUUCCUUCAAAUUUGAACUCUUUGAACCACCAAUGCUUGUUUUUCACCACCAAUAAUAUUGAAUAAUUUGAGACAAAAUGCAAUAAUCGGAAAUAUUGUGGAAUGGGAGAGAGCUUAAGAGUUGAGAGAAUAGAAAAAAAUUGAGGGUAUUUAAUAUUUAUAGGGAUUUAAAUAUUAGGAUUUAUUUAUUUAUUUUUUUUUAAAUUUCAAGACCGUUCAACGGUCAUAAUAUUGAAUUAUGAGUGGCAGACAUGUUCAACGGUCAUGUGAUCGUUGAACAGCCAGCUCACUUUUAUUUUUUUUCAAAAAUCAUACAAUAUUUCUAAUAUAUAUAUAACUAAUGCAAAAUAGUUACACAAAAAAGGGCUACCUUAGUUGGUGGCUAGCUCCUUUAUCCCCUUCCCUUCAAAACUUAAAACUAUUUUAAUUUUUACCCAAGCCCGCCCAUCCGGCCCGCCCGGGUAGCCCGCCAGCCGGCCCGCUGGGCAGCCCUCCAGCCGGCCUGCCAGGGAGCUUGCCAUCCGACCCGCCGGGCAGCCGGCCCGCUCAGCUUGAGGGCCCACGGGCCUUAGAUAUACCAACGGCCCGGCUCGGCCCGUUGACCAGUCAAAGAGCUCAGUGGCCAGCCCCGGGUUGGGCUAUGGGCCUUACUCCUCCGGGCCGGGAGGUUCGGCCCGGCCCGUUGGAGACCCUUAGUUUUAUAUGAUAAAAAUUUUAAAAACAAAUAAAUAGAUAUUUACCAAAUUAUUAAUCAAACAACUGCGUAGCAUAUGGUGGUGUGUCAUUCGUUUUGUUUAACCAAAAGUCACACGUUUAAUUCCCCACCAUGCAAAGUUCCUUUUAAUAUUAUCAAAGAUCCCAUAUCGGAAACCUAUAAACCACUUAUGUGGUAUCUAUAUCUGCAAACCUUGGGAAUGAGCAAACGGGGCUGGGAGUGAAGGGAUCUGGGCCAACAGAUGGGCAUCUCUACCUAUGCCUAAAGGUCUUCUGCCUGAAGUAAAUGGGCUGGGAAUGGAUGAAUCUGGGCCGCUAGAUGAGUAAAAACCCAUUUAGUAAAAGAUGGAUACAGUAAAAGGACUAAAACAUAUAUUAUUUUAUACAAUGGGUUAAGGAAAUAUAAAGUUUUCUUGAAAGAAGGAAACAAUUAAUAUAUUUGGAAAACUCCAUAGUAAAUCAUAUAUUAUUCCAUACAAAAUUAAUUAUUUUUUCAAAAAUUCAUGGUAAAUCAAUGUUUAAUUUUUUUUUUUUAUGUAAGUAUUAUGUUAAGGAGCCUAUUUAUUUUUAGAAUUUUUGUAUAUAAUUAAUUAAUGUGAUUAGUGCUAAGUUAUUGUGGAUGCAAUUUAGGAAAGUUGUAGGCCCUAAUUGUUUGACUCUUUAUAGCUUACAACUAAUUAAUUAUUUUGAAAAUUUUUAUUUAAAAUUGUUGGAUUAAUAUUGUAUAAUAUAUAUUGUUGUGAUAUCGCAAUAUAUUAAUUAUUAAAAUAUAAUCUUAGUUUGCUUUGAUUUUGUUAAUGUAAUAAAUGGAUAGACCAUAUUAAUUUAAUGAUGUUAUUUUAAUAGUCAAAACAUAGGAAAUAUAAUCUUAAUUUAAAACAUUAAUGUACAUAUUUUUCUAAAUAAUGUAUAAUGAAAUUAUUCUUCUUAACAAUAAAUUUAUUUUCCGAUAUACUUAUUUUUCUAGGAAAUGUACUUUUUUUUCAAAAUAUAAUUGUUUUUUUUCGAAGGAUGUACUUAUUUAUAUUAUUAUAAAUAAGUGAAAGUUUAUAAACAGUUUAUGGUAAAAAAAAAAUUAAUGUAUAUAUAAUGUACUUUUUUAAAGAAAAAUAAUUAAUUUUCAAAAGGUUCUACUUAUUUUUAUAAGAGAUUUUUUAUUUUUAUUUUUUAUAAUAUACUUAUUUUAUGAAGGAUGCAUUUGUUUAUAUUGAUACAAAUAAUUGAAAGUUCAUUAGUUCUUUUAUGAUAAACCUUUUAUAUAUAUAUAUAUAUAUAAUUUAUUCAUUUUUCAUACUUAUUUUUUUAAAGAAUAUACUUAAUUUCUAAGCAUUUACUUAUUUUCGUUGAUGCAUUUAUUUUUGAAUAGGGUGUACUUAUUAUCCUUUAAUGUAGAAUAUACAAAAUGGUUCUUUAUAAAUUUUAAUACUUGUACAACGAUAAAUAUUUAUUAUGAUUAAUUUUAGUUGCUUGGUUUUCCUUGCUAAUUCCUGUGGGGUGGGUGCUUGGAAUUUUUCAGUAGUGGCCUUCUUUUGCAGGUCAGUUUCGGGGAGUUGAAGAGAGCUGAUCAUGUUGCUUUUCCUCUUAAAGGAUCCAAAAUGAAAGACGAAGCAAAUGAAAGUGUUUCGGCUGGUCUCUCCUACAGCAUUGAAAUCAAGGAUGCUUACAUUCCACCGUGGAUAAGAUCCAGAAUGGCAGUGCAGUGGUUCUCAUGGUGGUUAGAAGGGCAGCAGGGUUAUGUUUUGUUAUCUGUAAUAUUUUUUUUAUUAUAUAGUGAAAUGUUAUCUCUCAUUUAUAGGUGUAGACAUACAUGUUGACUAAACCAUGCAUUUUAAAACUUUGACACCUUUAUAUGUGGAUUAUCUUUACUUUAUGCGUUCUUUCAUUCAUAUAUAUACAUUGAAACUUUUGCUAGCCCAAUAAAUGGUAUUAGAGCUUUUGUUGGCCUAACAAACUUAACGUUGUCCUUUCAAGAUGUAGUGAAAAGGCCUUUUAAAGGAUUUGUAUUUUAUCAUAAAAUAGAAAAGAAAGAAAAGAAACAUUAGAGAAUUUCGACUCCUAACCACUUGGCAAUAUAUUUAUCUUAUAUUGAAGAUAAAUAACUAGUCCAAAUUUUAUGGUGUUAUAUAGUCCACACAUAGAUUAAAGUAAUUAAGGAGGAAGAUGGCUUACCAGUAAGUUUCCAUGAGGGCUUGAAUGAACAAAUAAAAUAGAGAGAUGGUGGAAUAUAAGGACUUAGCUAGCAAGCGCACCUGGCAAUGGAGCUUAAAGCUUGAGAUCAGUGCUGGAUGCUCUCAAUCUUUUACGGCAUGGUUCCCGAUCAUCUGCUUGGUUUUUCCCGGCAUCAUCAUGGCCUCUUUGAUGAUCCAACAACAUAGGCACACUGCUGUUUAGAGAAUCACGGGUGUACAUCAUCUGAACCCCGCACCUCUUGAUAUUGGGAUGAGUAACCUCACCAUUCAUCCGGGUAGAAAAAUCAAACGCCGCCAGAAAGUGCCAUGGUUGAUUGCGGUGGUACUUAUUUGGAAUAGCAUUCUUAGGAUAGAGAGUCACCCACAAUUCAUCUGAUACAUUACCAUUAAUCUCGUGACAUUUACGCAAAGAAUCCAUGGAGAGGUGAUCCACAACUUCAUCCGAAUCACCGUGCAAUGUCAAAUCAAAAUAAUAUGGAACCUCAAAAUGAUUCCCUUUAUGAUAAAGAAAGAAGAAAGCAAAUCCCAGAAAGUGGUCAUCCUCGUACCAAUUCAAAGGAAGCUCUAUUCUUACUUGGCUUCCAAUCUCCUGAUGCAACACCCACCCUGGAAUUCCACCGUUUCCCGGAAUAAUAAUUACCUUGCCUUUCUUCCAAUUCCGAUUCAUGUACUGCAUAUACAAUCAAAGCUAAUAUGUAAUUGGGGUACUACUGGGUGGAUGAAAAGUUUUAAGUGUCGUUAUUAAAUAAAAAUCAUACCUCAUUACUUGUUGGAUUGAACCGUUUGAACCAUUUGAGGAAAGGACAGAGUAGAGAUGAUGGACUUGAUAACAUUUCCAGCUUCGUGCAGCCGUGGGCAUCUAUUUGUGGUAGACUCGAUGAAAGCUCUGGAAUUUCUUGGAGCAUCUUGCAGUGACUGAUAUCAAGGAGACGGAGUCUACAAAGUUGAGUGAUGCCAGAUGGUAUGCUAACCAUAUGGUUUCCACUUAGAUUUAAUGUAAACAAGGAAUAUAGACCCCAGAUAUCAGUGGGUAUUGACCCUUCCAUUAGAUUGCAGUGACUCAAAUCUAGUUCUACUAAGGAGCAUAAGCCUUCCAGAUUCUUGGGAAACUUCUCCAAGUUUGAACAACCAGGGAGUAUCAAUCGUUUAAGAGAUCUCAAAUCAUUAAUGCUGUCUGGAAGAGUCACAAGGUUCUUGCAAUUGCUCAAAUACAACAUUUGGAGGCUUUUCAGAUUUUGAAUUGAUGAUGGUAGUUCUUUUAUAGCUGUUCCUUCCAAACCAAGCACCUCUAAGUAUUUCAUACCCUCCAUGAUUUUGGGAAAGUUCCGUAGGCUUGAGCACCCAUUGAGAAAGAGUCAGCGAAAAGAUUUAAACCUACAAAUGCUGCUUAGAAGACUCCUCAAGUUUUUGCAAUCAUUCAAAAACAAUGAAUUAAUAUUAAGAUGUUCCAUUGAUGAUGGUAGCUCUUUUAUACUUGUUCUUCUUAAAUCAAGAAAUUCUUUCAUAUCCUCCAUGAUUUCUGGAAAAGCAUCUAGAUUUGAACAAACAAAGAGUUGGAGGUCUUCAAGGGACUUUAAACUGCAAAUGCUACCUGGAAGACUCCUCAAGUUUUUGCAGUGUUCCAUAUACAACUCCUGAAGUCCAGUGAGAUAUUCUAUUGAGGAGGGUAAUUCCUUAAUAGCUGAUCCAUCAAAGUGAAGAUAAGUUAAAGCUUUCAUAGAACUCUCCUCUAUCUCCAGAAAUUUCUCCAAGUUUGAGCAAUUAUUCAAGUAAAUAGUUUCAAGAGAGUCCAAGUAUUGAAUGCUACUUGGUAAGCUCGUAAGGUUUUCACACCCACUCAAACUCAACAAAGUUAGCUUCUUAAGAAAUCCAACAGAUUGAUCAACAAUAUUCAAACUUGUACAAUAUCCAAGUUCUAACUACUCUAGAUUUGGCAUAUUUGAAAAGUUUGAUAUUUCAGUGAGCUGCUUUGAUCCUAGUAAAUUUAAGAACUUUAACUUUCCCAAACACUGUGACAAAAGGAAUUUUGAUUUAGUACAAAAUGAAUUUUCAUGAACAAAAAAUUAAUCUCAAACAAAAUAAUAUGAUGAAAUACUAAUUAUACCUUAUUUCCUUGCCAAAGUUAUUUUUAUGUUGCUAUCCAUCAUGUUGAGUACAACAAGGUUCUCUCCAUGAAAAUUUGACGGCAAUGAUUUCAAAGGGUAUCCUUUCCAAUGAAGAUAUCUCAACUCUUGUGAAGGAAAUUGAAAAUCUUCGGGAAGAAUAAUUUUAUACUCAUUUUUCAUGGAACCACAACAAUCCAUCCCAUAAAUCUUGAGCAAUCUAAGUUGGUUCAUCUUUGCAAAAACCUUUGUUCUAAAUUGUAGUUGUUUUGAUCUAGACAAGUUUAAGAAUAUGGCCUCAACAUUUUUCAUCCCCUACAAACAAUAACAAAGGAUUAGGCAAGCAUAAAAGAGAUAAAGCUAGCUAAAAUUGUAUGGAUAUGAACUUAGACAAAAAUGAUAUUGCUCACAUUUACAUAUUUUUAUGAAGCUUAAGAAAGUUCAUGAGUUUGAUGGUUACCUUCUUCAUUGUAAAUGCACGAUACACAUCACUCGGAUCCCACAAUCUGCUCCAUUUUCCAGGAUUAUCAGGAAAUUCACUACGAAUAAUGUUCCUUCCCAUUUCUUGUAUCAAAUCAUGCAUAAGUAUCUUAUUUUCAGAAAGAGAUAUAAGACACUUAUCAUAGAGGACUUUUAUUCCUAUCUCUGCAUACAAAUCACAACUAUCCAAUAUCCUUGAAACAAAGUCUUUGUCUUCCCCUUUAAAAAAACAUGCAAUGUCAAGAAAUAUUUUCUUCUGUGUAUGAUCUAAUCCGUCAAAGCUUACUUUAAGCACAUUUUGAAUUUUCACUUCAGGUUCUCUUUCCAAUUUACACAAUUCGCUUUCCCAUGGGAGUAUUGUCUUGUUAAACAAGAGAGAACCGAGGACUUUUAGAGCUAAAGGAAGGCCAUGACAAUAAUAGAUUACAUGAUUCGAGAGGUGGAUAAAGUAUUGUUUAGGAAGAUUUUGUCUAAAAGCAAAGAGACUACAAAGCUCACGAGCUUGUUCAUAAUUUAAUUCCUCAACCUCAUAUACGUCAUCUAUUUCUUGUAACAAAUGUUUACUUCUAGUCGUAUUGAUGACUCUGCUUCCUCUUCCAAGCCAAUCACGAUUUCUGAGUAAAUAUUCUAAUUGAUUUGAAUCAUCAAUGUCAUCAAGAACAAUAAAAACUCUUUUAAAUCGGAGAACAUUUUUUAUCAUAUUGGCUCCUUGGCCAACAUUGCUUACAUUUUGAUUUCUCUCCACUUGUAGUAGAUCACAAAGAAUUUGAUUUUGUAAAUGAUGCAAACCCAUAGUAUUGCCAACUUCUCUAACAUUUUCGAGAAAGCUCAUAUACUCAAAUUCAUGAGAAAAUUUAUUAUAUAUAACUUUGGCGAGCCAUUCCAUCUAUGCCACAUAUACCAAUUAUAUUAUACAAACAUCAUCCAAUUGAUCAACACAUAACUGCCGAAUUAUCUCAUUUACAUGGGAAUCCAUACCAACCAAGUUGGCACCAACAUCAAAUAUUCUACAAUUCAAUCUCAUGAAUAUAUUGUUGACGAUUUUCUUAAUAUGCUCGACUCGCGCCUGCCAAUUGUAAAGUACAUGUGAUGAUUAAUUAGGCUACACCUGAUUAAAAAAUAAAUACAUGUUAAGCUUCUUCGUGAAAAAUGAAUUAUAGUAAAAAAAAAAAAUUAUAUCAAAAGUAUUAAGUUUUAAAACUCAAAUUAAAUUUUUAGGACAUUUUUUUAUUAUAUCAAAUAUACAAGACAAUGAAAAUAAAAUAUGUAUUUGUUUAAUUUGUUUGCUUGUGAGACAUUGUCAAUUUGAUUUUUUUUUUUUUUGGGAACAUUUAUAGGCUGCUAAGCAUGGAGCAAAUUUAUAUCAAACAAAAUCAUAUUGUAAUGACCCACUCUGUUGUGCAUAUAUAGAUAUCAUUUGCAGCUCUCUCUCUAUGUUAUAUGUAACAUUAUAAUUUACCAAUCCCCUAUCCACAAUGGAGACACAAGGUCCUCAUCACGUCUCAUAAUAUCAUGGGUUUGCAGGUCUUCAGUGACUUUCUUGAUAUACUUUGAUUCAUGAGUCGCAAUCGUAAAUGACCUCCAAAUCUAUUCAGGUAUUACAACUAUAAUUAUAAAAAUGCCUGAUUCCUGUAGCAGUAAAUAAAACCAAACUUAUAAAUGAAAGUUGAAUGGAAAUUAAUAAAGCUUUACCCAUCCUUCACAUGCUCUUCAGAUAUAUUGGUUGCUUCUGUCAAUGCACUCCUCCAACUUCGCACCUUCUCUUUCAUCUCUUCUGUAUCUUCUUUGUAAUUAGAAAAUGCCUCUCCAAACCUUCCUGUCUGGUUUCGUACAAGGGAUGGAUCCACAUGGUAGAAAAUCGGUACCACAGUUUGUUUCAUUUCUUUCUUGCACUUCAUGAUCUUCACCAGCUCAUCUAAACACCAUCUGGAACCAGCAUAGUUUUCCGAGAAAACUAUUAGGGAAAACCUUGAUUCUUCAAUAGCUUUUAGGAGUUCAGGUUCAAUCUCUUCCCCUCUCUCAAGUGAAUCAUCUCUAAAGGUAUGAAUACCUCUUCGAAUCAAAUUUUCAUAAAAAUGAUCAGUGAAAUUGAAUCGGGUGUCUUCACCUCUAAAACUCAAGAAAACAUCAAAAUACCUUUGUGGGAUGAAAGUAGAAAUAGAAGUAGAACUUGUGGAAGCCAUAAGAAACUUCUGCCAAAAUCAGAACUUAGAAGGGAUUUUGCAGAAUUGUGAAUGUAGAUUGUGCAGAUUUGUUAGCAAAAAUUUGUUGAUGAAGGAUUUUGUGUCACUGUAAUGUAUAGAGAAGAGAGUGACAACACGCGCUGCUGCAGAUGAGAUUACGGAGAUAGAGCAUCUUACUUUGGGUGAUGUCAGUGCCAGCUGGACAAUACAAUCGCACUGUGCGAUGCUGCUCUUUUUUUUUUUUGAUUCGUGUCUUUUUAAAGUUAGAAACUUUAAUUUAAAAAAAAAAAAGAUAUGGAAAAAAAUAGUCCGGCGUCUGUUCUUUAAAAUAAAGAAAAAAAAUAACAGUUUUUAGAAUUUGAAAAAAAUAAAAGAAUGUUUGACAGAUGUUUUGAAAAUUAUUAUUAUUUUUUUAAAAUAAAAAAUUUAUUUGAAUAAAAGAAUUUAUAUUACCUUCAAAUAAUUGUAUUGUUUUUAAAGACAAAAUAUCAUGCCUCAAAACCCCUUCAUUGACAUGAAGAUCAUUUUACACUUCAAAUCUAAGAUUUAAAGUCGAAAUGAUAUAACCAUUUAUCUUGUAAUUGAAAAAUAUUAAUUAUUAAAUUCAUAUUCAAAAUAAUAGAAUAAAAAUUUUAAAAUUUAUAAAAAUCAACUUUAAAAACUGACACAUCAACCAAAAUAUUAUUGUUAAAAUAACUCUAAUUUCAAAUAAUUUAAACAAUAAUUAAAUUUUAAUAUUUAAAUAAUGUCCAAAAUUAAUUUUGAACCUAAAUAUUAACGAAGAAAAAUUUCAUAACUCAACCAUCACUCUUGGUCAGAACUAAAAUAGCAUUACCAGCUAGCUAACAAGAAUAAGCUAACUUUCUGUGUGUUCGCGCUUGUGUGGCGCACAGUUUUACAACAAAGCCGACUUCAGAUGGCCUAAAUGCUGCAGUUGAAACUGUUGGCCUGAAAGCCGACACCCAAGCAGCAACAGGCGAAGCCAUACAAGAAAGCACAUAUGCAUUUGGAAUUCCAGAGGCUGUUGUAACUUGUUACAUGCAUUCGGCCUUCUUUAAAGGCUUGAAAUAUGCCAAUGGUUCUUUUACUGCCUGUCUUUCGCCUGUAUAACAAAUCUGUUUUCAUUGAUCAAGUGUUUCAACUAUAUGAUUACUUACAAUUAAAACUGUGAGGACACCAUGCAUUUGGAGAGAUUCUAGGUAGAGCUUUUAAAUGAUUACAAACAAGAAAAAUCUCUAUGCUUGAAAUAUGCAAAUCAAAAUCAACAAUAAAUUGAAUGCAUUCCAAAUUUGAGUUAUAGGAUGCACAUGUCCUUCACUAUUUAAGUUUAAUUAUAAUUUAUUCUAAAUAUGAGUUUCUAAAACUAAGUGUUUAGCCAAUCUUAAAAAAAAAAUGAAAUCAAGUUUUAGGCAUUAGGGUUCGGAUUUCCAAACUCAAAGUUGUAAAAUGACUAAUAUUUAAGAUGAAUUAUAUUGAGAAGUGUCUCAAAUUCCUAGUUAUAUAUUCCUUGUGAAAAGAAUAUUUUAUAAGUUCAUAUGUGGUUGUAAUAAAAUUCUUUGUAGAAUAAAGAAACUUAGUAGGAAUAUCUCUCUAAAUAUUUUAGGUUGAGUAGGAAAAAAGUUAUUAUAUGAGAUGGAGAUAGAGAUGAGAGGAAGAGUGAGAGACAAUUAAUGAAGUAAGAGUGCUCAUGGCUUAAGCUAUAGAUACAAAGACCGGAAAAUGAUGGAUGUUUAAUAACCUAGUCGUUGCAUCUGUUUUUACUAUCUGUAAUAUUUUUUUAUUGUAUAGUGGAAUGUUAUCUCUUAUUUAUAGGUGUAAACGUGGUUGAUCAAAUCAUACUAAAACUUUGCGUACCUUUAUGCAUGAAUUAUCUUUAUUUUUUGUUUUUUCAUUGGUGUAUUUUCAUUAAGACUUCCACUAGCCCAAUAUAUGAUAUAAGAACUUUUGUUGACCUAACAGACUCAAUACUGUCUUUUCGGGAUGUAGUGAAAAGGCCUUUUAAAGGAUUUGUAUUUUAUCAUAAAGUAGAAAAGAAAGAAAAGAAACAUGACAGAAUUUCGACCCCUUCGAACCACUUGGCAUUAUAUUCUUAUAUUGAUGAUAAAUACUCAAGUCAAAAUUGUAUGGUGUUAUAUAGUCCGCACAUAUCUUAAAGUAAUUAAGAAGGGGGAGGAAGAUGGCUUACCAAUAAGUUUCCAUGAGGGCAUGAAUGAACAACUAAAAUAGAGAGAUGGUGGAAUAUAAAGAGGACUUUCCUAGCAAGUGCACCUGGCAAUGGAGCUUAAAGCUUGAGAUCAGUGCUGGAUGCUCUCAAUCUUUUAGGGUGUGGUUCCUGAUCAUCUGCUUGGUUUUCCCUGGCAUCAUCAUGGCCUCUUUGAUGAUCCAACAACAUAGACACAUUGUCAUGUAGAUAAUCAUGGGUGUAUAUCAGCUGAACUCCGCACCUCUUGAUAUUGGGAUGCAUAGGCGAACCAUUAAUCCUAGGAAAAAAAUCAAACGCAACCAGAAAGUGCCAUGGUUGAUUGCGUUGGUACUUAUUUGGAAUAGCAUUCUUAGGAUAGAGAGUCACCGACAAUGGACCUGAUGCAUCACCAUUAAAGCUGUCGCAUGUACACCCAAACCUAAUGGUGCGGCCAUCCAAAACUUCAUCCGGGUCACCGCGCAAUCUCAGACUAAAUGGAGUUCGAUGCAGACAAUCACCCUCACGAUAAAGAGUGAAGAAAGCAAAUCCCGGAAAGUGGUCAUCCUCGUACCAAUUCAAAGGAGGCUCUAUUCUCACUUGGCUUCCAAUCUCCUGAUGCAAUACCCACCCUGGAAUUCCACCAUUUCCUAGGAUAACAAUCAUCUUGCCUUCCUUGCAAUUCAAGUGCUGCAUAUACAAUCAAAGCUAAUCCGUAAUUGGAGUACUACUAGGUGGAUGAAAAGUUUUAAGUGUCGUUAUUAAAUAAAAAUCAUACCUCAUUACUUGUUGGAUUAAACCAUUUGAGGAGGGGAGACCAGAGUAGAGAUGAUGGACUCGAUAACAUUUCCAGCUUCGUGCAAUAGUGGGCAUCUAUUUCUCGUGGACUCGAUGGAAGCUCUGGAAUUUCUUGGAGCAUCUUGCAGUGACUGAUACCAAGGUAACGAAGCUUACAAAGUUGAGA
rnacentral:lncRNA from 1 species